CUCAGACAGCCAGGAUGUUGGCUUAGAAGCAGCCAUCAUUUAAAGAAAGCGUAAUAGCUCACUGGUCGAGUCGGCCCGCGCGGAAGAUGUAACGGGGCUAAACCAUGCACCGAAGCUGCGGCAGCGACACAAAGUGUUGUUGGGUAGGGGAGCGUUCUGUAAGCCUGCGAAGGUGUACUGUGAGGUAUGCUGGAGGUAUCAGAAGUGCGAAUGCUGACAUAAGUAACGAUAAUGCGGGUGAAAAACCCGCACGCCGGAAGACCAA
rnacentral:rRNA from 2 species